UCCUACGGGAGGCAGCAGUGGGGAAUAUUGGACAAUGGGCGCAAGCCUGAUCCAGCCAUGCCGCGUGGGUGAAGAAGGCCUUCGGGUUGUAAAGCCCUUUUGUUGGGAAAGAAAUCCAGCUGGCUAAUACCCGGUUGGGAUGACGGUACCCAAAGAAUAAGCACCGGCUAACUUCGUGCCAGCAGCCGCGG
rnacentral:rRNA from 1 species